GAGUAGCUCCCAACCCUCAAGAAAGUAUACAAAUACACACUCAGUCGAAGAGGAUGACCUUCCCAAUAGAAACAGACAAGUCUUCGGUUGAGAGUAUAAGAGUAGCUGUGCUCCCCUGCUAGAACCUCCAAACAAGCUCUCAGUGUCCAUACUCGCAGAGGGAUAAAGAACAGUGAAGUUUCCAGUGUAG
rnacentral:snRNA from 1 species